CCUACGGGAGGCAGCAGUGGGGAAUCUUGCGCAAUGGGCGAAAGCCUGACGCAGCGACGCCGCGUGGGGGAAGAAGGCCUUAGGGUUGUAAACCUCUUUCAGGUGGGACGAAGCCACUCGGGUUAAUAGCCCAGAGGGUGACGGUACCGCCAGAAGAAGCCCCGGCUAACUACGUGCCAGCAGCCGCGGUAAUACGUAGGGGGCAAGCGUUGUCCGGAUUUAUUGGGCGUAAAAGAGCGUGUAGGCGGCUAGGUAGGUGGGUUGUGAAAACUGGAGGCUCAACCUUCAGACGUCGACCCAAACCCCCUGGCUAGAGUCCGGAAGAGGAGAGUGGAAUUCCUGGUGUAGCGGUGAAAUGCGCAGAUAUCAGGAAGAACACCCGUGGCGAAGGCGGCUCUCUGGGACGGUACUGACGCUGAGACGCGAAAGCGUGGGGAGCGAACAGGAUUAGAUACCCUGGUAGUCCACGCCGUAAACGAUGGGUGCUAGGUGUGGGGGGUGGUCGACUCCCCCCGUCGCCGAACGCUAACGACAUUAAGCACCCCGCCCUGGGGAGGUACGGCCGGCCAAGGCGUAAAACCUACAAAUAGAAUUAGACGGG
rnacentral:rRNA from 1 species